rnacentral:misc_RNA from 1 species
GGAAGUAAAAGUAGUAACAAGGUCUCCGUAGGUGAACCUGCGGAGGGAUCAUUACAGAGUUCGUGCCCUCACGGGUAGAUCUCCCACCCUGUGUUAUUAUACCUUUGUUGCUUUGGCGGGCCGCCCUCGGCUACCGGCCCCGGCUGGUACGCGCCCGCCAGAGGACCCCAAACUCUGAAUGUUAGUGUCGUCUGAGUACUAUACAAUAGUUAAAACUUUCAACAACGGAUCUCUUGGUUCUG